rfam:Chlamydotis undulata macqueenii contig50714, whole genome shotgun sequence.
AGUGAAGAAGACCAAUGCCACGAGGGUUAUCUCACAGCCCCAGAUGCUGGAUAAGUUGAAGGAGGCAGAAUCGCUUUUGGAUGACAUUCAGGAAGGCCUUGAAUGAUUAUUUGGUGAAGAAAAGACUAUUCUUUCCAAG